AGCGGUUCUUGGGUGACACACCAUGGAAUCAGAGAGGAGGAAGCCCAAUUCCGGGGUGCGUCACCCAAGAACUGCC
rfam:Myotis lucifugus cont2.16590, whole genome shotgun sequence.